ACCCUCUAUUUAGAAUCUUAGUCCCUUUUGAUAUUCAAGAAUUUGAGCCUAUAUUUGUCAACGCAAGGCAAUAUCAAGCGAUCUUGCGACGUAGAAGACAAAGAGCAAAGAUGCAUAAACUCAAGAAGCCCAAAAAGCCAUAUUUGCACGAAUCAAGACAUCUUCAUGCAAUGAGAAGAGUAAGAGGAAAGGGUGGAAGAUUCCUUAAAAUGAGGAAAGUUGGAGACAAUCCAUUACCUCAACUCAAGUGAAAAUAUGUACUUUCCUUUUGUCUUUGUAUUGUCAUCAUGGUUGUUAUGUUUCAGAUUCUUGUUAUGUCAUUAACUAGAUGACACACAAUGAAAAACAUUUCAGAACA